rnacentral:misc_RNA from 1 species
AACGCACGAGACCUGCGGACCUGCGGAAGGAUCAUUACUGAGUUAGGGUCUUUUAUGGCCCGACCUCCAACCCUUUGUUUAUUAUACCGUGUUGCUUUGGCGGGCCUGUCUUUCGGGGCUGCCGGGGGCACUACUGCCCCUGACCCGUGCCUGCCAGGAGCCUUCCUUAAAUUCUGUGUUAAAACUGUGAUGUCUGAGUUUCAACAUCAAAUUAUACAAAACUUUUAACAACGGAUCUCU